rnacentral:rRNA from 1 species
GAUGAACGCUGGCGGCGUGCCUAAUACAUGCAAGUCGAGCGAACGGACGAGAAGCUUGCUUUUCUGAUGUUAGCGGCGGACGGGUGAGUAACACGUGUAUAACCUACCUAUAAGACUGGGAUAACUUCGGGAAACCGGAGCUAAUACCGGAUAAUAUUUUGAACCGCAUGGUUCAAAAGUGAAAGACGGUCUUGCUGUCACUUAUAGAUGGAUCCGCGCUGCAUUAGCUAGUUGGUAAGGUAACGGCUUACCAAGGCAACGAUGCAUAGCCGACCUGAGAGGGUGGUAGGCCACACUGGAACUGAGACACGGUCCAGACUCCUACGGGAGGCAGCAGUAGGGAAUCUGACGCAAUGGGCGAAAGCAUGACGGAGCAACGCCGAGUGAGUGAUGAAGGUCUUCGGAGCGGAAAACUCUGUUAUGAGGGAAGAACAUAUGUGUAAGUAACUGCGCACAUCUUGACGGUACCUAAUCAGAAAGCCACGGCUAACUACGUG